UUGGGGUAGGGGUUGGGGAUAAGGUUACGGAAAUCAGUGAGGUUGGCCUCGGUCAGGCCAAUAUUUUCUCUCCACCUAUCCCAAUCAAAACAAAAGCUAGCCUUGUCAGUGCUUUUAUUAAAAUAUUAUUAUUGAUUACUGUCAAUGCACAAUGUGCAUAACACUAAAUCCCCACAUUUCAAGAAACCUCUGCAGCUCACUACUGAUGGUUCUGCUCUUUUUAAUCUAUAUCACUAUAUUUAGGUGGUAUAUAGAUAAUAUGCUCCGAUGGGUAAAAGUUGGUUCCUGAAUUUGCUCAAUGCUGCUAGCCCUUCUACUCUACUAGUACUAGAUGUUAUAAUUUUUGUGGCAAGCUUAAGUCAACUGGGAUUCUGAUUCUGAUUCUGAAUCUGAAUCUGAUCAGAACUUUUAAUUUCCUUUUUUGGCUAUAUAAAUGUUUAAAAAGAUAGUUUAGCUCAUCAAGAAUCAGGAUACAGUCUGUAAUUUGUUGUCUUUUUCUCCUGCCUGUUGUUGCUGCUGGCUGCUGACUACAUAAUUUGAUGCCCUUGAAAAUGAGUCAUUUUUGGGGUCUUAUUUAGCAAAGAGUUUUCAUAGUUUCCCUUGUUUUGUCCUGAUCAGUUGUUGAGGUUUUAUUUUAUACUUUUUCUCCAAGUAUUGAUUGAUUUGAGAUUAUCCUUGAAAAGCUACCUCUGGUUCUUUUGGAGGAUAUUGAGAACAAAGGCAAGGUAGAUUCCUGAUAUUAUUCUCCUCCCUUACACCACUCUUUUUUUUUUUUUCUGAUUCCCAAGAAACAAUUUUUUUUAUCCCAGUUUUCUUUGCUUUUUCCUUAUUAGCAACAUAAAAGGAAAAGCAGAAGGAAAGAACUUUUC
rnacentral:lncRNA from 1 species